rnacentral:rRNA from 1 species
CCUACGGGUGGCAGCAGUGAGGAAUAUUGGUCAAUGGGCGUAAGCCUGAACCAGCCAAGUCGCGUGAGGGAUGAAGGUUCUAUGGAUCGUAAACCUCUUUUAUAAGGGAAUAAAGUGUGGGACGUGUCCUGGUUUGUCUGUACCUUAUGAAUCAGGAUCGGCUAACUCCGUGCCAGCAGCCGCGGUAAUACGGAGGUUCCGAGCGUUAUCCGGAUUUAUUGGGUUUAACGGGUGCGUAGGCGGCCUUGUAAGUCAGCUGUGAAAGUCUGUGGCUCAACCAUAGAAUUGCCGUUGAAACUGGGAGGCUUGAGUAUGUUAGAGGCAGGCGGAAUGCGUGGUGUAGCGGUGAAAUGCGUAGAUAUCACGCAGAACCCCGAUUGCGAAGGCGGCCUGCCAGGCCAUGACUGACGCUGAGGCACGAAAGCGUGGGGAUCAAACAGGAUUAGAUACCCCAGUAGUC